GAGGGUGUAGCUCAGAGGCAGAGCACAAGGUUGUGGCCCUUGGGGUCGCGGGUUCAAGUCCCGUCACCCUCC
rnacentral:tRNA from 1 species